rnacentral:lncRNA from 1 species
UCGCACUAACAGAAUACUCUAACAGUGUUAAGAGCUAUAUAAUCUCAACAGUCAACCAACAUUACUGGAAUUAAAUGACUAAGUAAUAGAUUUUCAAACAACCAACGUUAACAUGAUGUUCAAAUUAAUAAUAUAAAAGAAACUACAGAAAUCAACUAUUGAUUCAACCAGCUGAAUAAUUUAUGAAUAAACUAGUCUAGAUUCUAAAAUAUGCACUUCCCUUUGAACUAUUGUGUACUCGUCAGAUCCUAUAACAGCUAUAAUGCAUUGAAAGAAAACUAACUAAACAAACACAAUAAUUCAAAGGAACACAUGCAAAAAGGAGCCGUAAGUCUAUGUUAUAUCCAUUGAAACUCUUGUUACAAAAUACUUUGAAGCACUUCACGCUUUAGCAAUCACUACGGUCCAAGAAAUACCUGGAGAUCAAAGCAAAAAAUGGUGAGAAAUCAGGCAGUUCAAUGCAGUUAAUCAAGUAAAGAAGCAGCAACAACCAGCCAACAAAUAGCUUCAGAUCAUACUCCAACCCAGAAAACAGAUACCCAAUGGAAACUUUUCAAAGUUCUUCCUCAAGAAAAGAAAAUCAGAAACACAUCCAAUUUCCAAUGAAAUAGUGCAGAGAACUUUUUGUAGUCUUUUAGGUCUAUAUAAAGCGCUUUUUGAUGCCAUGUGCUUCUGAAAAUAGAAUGAGAAUUAUUCCCUCACCUAAUCAUCUUUUUUAACUACCUGGAUAACUGGCUAUCCCUUAGGCUCAGUAUUUUUGUGCGAAUCCAACGGGGCCAGCUGCCCCAAGUUCUAAAACCUUCCUAUAUACCUUCUAACCCAAAGUUGGAUUCAUAUCUUUACCCAACCCCUUAAGUUCUUCCUUAUAUCAUUGAACCCCCCAAUCUUCUAAUUGCUUAUGAUUUAAUACUUACAAAACAAAAACAAAACUGGCACAAUUUGACUGAUUGAAAGUACCAAACCCUUAGUGACUGACUCUUGAAUUAACUCUUAACGUAAAUAAUUUUAUUACUAAGAGAAAUAAAAAAUGACACAACAUUUGAACAAUUGAAACCAACAUUAACAUUAUCUAAUUAUUGGACUAUCCCUGAGGCUCAAACCUUCUGAAUUAAAUUAUACACAGUCAUUAACAAAUAAUCACUCUACAAUGAGAGAGAUUAGCAUGCUAAUUCAAAAUGAGUCUGCCUAAACAUGAACUAACCCAUCUAGAUAAACCCUAAGUAAACAGAAACUGAACAUUUAACGAUAUUGAUAGAAGAUUCAUGAACUUAUCUUAAGAUAUUGGCUAACAAUAAUGAUUAAACACAUAAAUUAAACAAAUAAUCCUACAAUGCUAUAAACCCUAAAUUAUGCAAUUAAAUGGUCAUGAAGUCAUUAAACUCAAGAGAAAGGGGAAGAAAAUAACAUAGGGACACAAAUAAUGUAAAAUAAUAAAGAAAUAUCUAUGUUCGUCCAAACGAAAUCCACUAAGAACUCAACCCUUCCUUAAACGAAUGAAGCAAACCUUUAACUAUCAUUUAUCGACUAUCCUUAAUAAAGAACCAUCGAUUAAUUAUAGUUUAGGGUUCGCUUGACCACAUGUUGACUAAGAUAGGAAAAAGGGGAGAAAACCUAAAGCUUAAUCAGAACCCCUGCUUCAAUGUUGACAGUGUUGGGGCUGAUUUGAGAGGAAACAAAACCAUAUAUGGGGAGAGGAAGGGUGAAAGGCUGUAUGGUGUAAGUUUGUGAUUGUUUGGGUGAUUUAGGUUUUUGGAAUUCUUAGUUUAGAUCCAAAUUCGAGAGGUUUGAGGGUGAUUUGGGGAAAGAGUUUAGGAGAUUCAGAAAGGUGAAGGCGAUGGGAUUAUAUGGUGUUAAUUUGGAGUAGAUCAAAGUGGUUUACGUCAUUGCCGCCGACGAAGAUGGUAGGGGUUUCAGGGGCGGCGGGUUCUAGGGUUUGGAUUGAGAGAGAUGAAAGGGUGAGAGGGUUUCGACUGGUUUAGGGAGUGGGUUUGGACAGUUAUAUAUGGUUUGUAUACCCAGU